rnacentral:rRNA from 1 species
ACGAGCGAGUGAUCGUAAGCAAAUCCCAAAAAUAACGUCUCAGUUCGGAUUGUAGUCUGCAACUCGACUACAUGAAGCUGGAAUCGCUAGUAAUCGCGAAUCAGCAUGUCGCGGUGAAUACGUUCCCGGGUCUUGUACACACCGCCCGUCACACCAUGGGAGCCGGGAAUGCCCGAAGUCAGCGGCCUAACCGCAAGGAGGGAGCUGCCGAAGGCAGGCCUGGUGACUGGGGUGAAGUCGUAACAAGGUAAC